GGCCUGAUGGCCGAGAGGUUAGGCAGCGGUCUGCAAAACCGUCUACCCCGGUUCGAUUCCGGGUCAGGCCUCCA
rnacentral:tRNA from 1 species